rnacentral:rRNA from 1 species
GGUUAAGCGACUAAGCGUACACGGUGGAUGCCCUGGCAGUCAGAGGCGAUGAAGGACGUGCUAAUCUGCGAAAAGCGCCGGCGAGGUGAUAUGAACCUUUGACCCGGCGAUGUCCGAAUGGGGAAACCCAGUGUGAUUCGUCACACUAUCGUUAACUGAAUACAUAGGUUAACGAGGCGAACCGGGGGAACUGAAACAUCUAAGUACCCCGAGGAAAAGAAAUCAACCGAGAUUCCCCCAGUAGCGGCGAGCGAACGGGGAGCAGCCCGGAGUCUGAAUCAGCUUGUGUGUUAGUGGAAGCGUCUGGAAAGUCGCACGGUACAGGGUGACAGUCCCGUACACGAAAGCACACAGGCUGUGAACUCGAAGAGUAGGGCGGGACACGUGGUAUCCUGUCUGAAUAUGGGGGGACCAUCCUCCAAGGCUAAAUACUCCUGACUGACCGAUAGUGAACCAGUACCGUGAGGGAAAGGCGAAAAGAACCCCGGCGAGGGGAGUGAA